ensembl:rRNA 5S_rRNA 5S ribosomal RNA
AUUGUUGGCCAUGCUACCCUGAACGUGCCCGAUCUCAUCUGAUCUCAGAAGCUAAGCAGGGUCAGGCCUGGUUAGUACUUGGAUGGGAGAAAUAAACUUUUAAUGUCAAUGCCAGAAAAGUCAAAGAAA